rnacentral:snoRNA from 1 species
AUCCUUUUGUGGUUCAUAAGUAUGCUAUUGUGUGAGAUGUACCUCCUUCAAAUCUUGUUGCAACGUUGGCACAUUACCGAUCUGAUG